GCAUUGGCACUUUAGUGGUAGAAGUCUUGCCUCCCAUGCGAGAUACCUAGGUUUGAUUUCCUGCCAAUGCA
rnacentral:tRNA from 1 species